AAUUCAGGUUGGUAAUGCCAACGCAAAAGCCAACCUAUUUUUGCUUCAUGCCGGCAUGCAACUGCUGACCUAAAUCUUUGUAACAAGUAGCAAAAGUAAUUUUUUUGUCCACCUGACAAAUAUUUAUUAUUUUGAUAAAUAAAAAAAUGAUAAUUUUGAAAUAGACAAAAUAAAAAAAUAAAAACUAAGAAAAAUUUAAGAAGAUUUUUUCUUAUAUAAAAAGAUGUUCAUCAAAGUCUUUUAGAUCUUUUUAGUCUAAUAGACUCCAUAAAAUUGCCACAUUUUUUUCGACGGAAGCCAAAAAAUUUGAAUAAUGAACUUGUUAAGUGGAAAGCUCAAGAGCACAAGUAUUUUCUAUUGUAUUAUGGGCCAUUUGUGUUUUACAAACUUGGUAAUGCUGAAAUUUGUUCUCUUUAUUUAAUGCUUUCAAUAUCUAUUUAUACAUUAUCCAAUGAAAUUGUUUCAUCAAAUGAUAUUGAUGCUUGUCAGCAACUAGUUUAUUUAUUUCAAAAGGCAUUAUGCUCCUAUUUCGGUGAAGGUAUUCGCACAUUCACUUUUGAUGCAUUAGCGCAUCUCUCUGACCAGAUAAAAAAUUUUGGACCUCUUACAGCAACGUCUGCUAUGGUGUUUGAAAAUGUAAAUCGCCAACUAAAGAGGUUUGUUACAGGAACUAAAGGCCAUGGAAGGCAAAUGGCUGAAAAAUUUAUUAGAUUUCAGACGGAAGACCACUUAAAUACUUUUUCUUUGAAUCCUUUUGUGUUAGGUGCAGCACAAAAUAUAUCAGAUAAGUUACGGAAUAUGGAUUUGAAUGAUUUAAAUGUUGACCUAAAUCUUUAUCAGUUUUAUAACCGUUUUAGAGUUGCUGAUAGAACUUUUCAUGCUUAUCAUUAUGGUAAAAAAUUAAAAUCAGCUUCAUAUUAUGCAUAUUUAAUAGAAUUUAAUGUGAUUGUGAAAGUUUUGUUUAUUGCACAUAACCAAAGACAAAUCUUGUGUAUAUGUCGAUUGUAUAAAAAUGUAAGUUUCAUCGUCAUAUGGAUUCUUUUAAUAUUCCUAUCAAAAUCAAGCAUGUUUUGUCAAAAAUAUCUCCUUAUUUAUUGUUGAAAAAGUGUGGAUUAGCUGUUUUUGAUUCAAGCAAAUUUACUCACUACGCUCUUGUAAAAAUAACAAAGAAAUUUUAUUAUAGUGUUGUUAUUCAAAGUAAUUAUGAACAUGAUUAGGUUUUAUUUCUAUUUUUUAAAGUUUGAAAUUGUAUUAUGUUUUUUUGUAUUAUUAUAUAUUUACUUUACAAUAUUCUUUUUAUUAGAAGUUGUUAUUUAGGAUUCUGUUUGCAAUCAAUUAAUUAAUGAAACAUCAAACUUAAUUCAUAAUGGCGACAAGAGUUUGUUGUUUACAAUGAUCUAAAUCAGAUUUCUUAACAGAUUAUAAUAGCUUUAAAACAAUGAUAAUGAAAGUUUUUUCAUCGUUCUAAAUUUAUGCUACAGUUAUGGUCGUAAAAGAUUAAGAAAAAUCUUAUGGGUGCAAUUAUUCCACUGACACCGCGAAAAUUACCAAAAGAACUAACCAUCGCUGUUUAUUGUAUUUUUUUAAAUGUUCUAUUUAAACAAUCUAACACUUAA
rnacentral:lncRNA from 1 species